UACAGGGGGUGCAAACGUUGCUCGGAAUUAUUGGGCGUAAAGCGCGCGUAGGCGGCUACUUAAGUCGGAUGUGAAAGCCCUUGGCUCAACUGAGGAAGUGCACCCGAAACUGAGUGGCUUGAGUACUAAAGAGGGUCGCGGAAUUCCCGGUGUAGAGGUGAAAUUCGUAGAUAUCGGGAGGAACACCGGUGGCGAAGGCGGCGACCUGGGUAGAUACUGACGCUGAGGCGCGAAAGCGUGGGGAGCGAACAGG
rnacentral:rRNA from 1 species